AGCCCCAUGUCGGGCUCUGUGCUGAUAGCUCAGAGCCUGGAGCCUGUUUCGGAUUCUGUGUCUCCCUCUCUCUCUCUGACCCUCCCCAGUUCAUGCUCUGUCUCUCCCUGUCUCAAAAAUAAAUAAACGUUAAAAAAAAAUAAUAAAAAAAAUAAAAAAAUCAAUGCAUUAUAUUAUCAGAGUGUAACCAAGAAAACAGAAACCACCUUAAGACUUUCCAACACAGUGAAUUUAAUUCAAGGAUUUAUUACACAGGUGAUGGAAGUUCUGAGACCCACAGAGGAGGUAGUAAGGUAUUCCAAAGUUAAACAGCAGGAAAUCACUACCAUCUCUGAGCUAGAAAGAUAGAACAUGUAGUGGUAUUAAUGCCCAGGGAGUCAUCAGGUGGAAGCUGGAACUAAGACAAACCUGCUGAGCCAUGAAACCAAGGAGCUGUAGCCAUAAAGGAGAAGCAAAUGUUGAGAAGAUGCCUCAGGUAGAGAGGCAGGAAGAGAAAGGCCCUGGCUUCUCUCCCACCCUAUUCAAUCUCUGACCCGUGUCUUUCUUUGUCAAAACUCAGCCAGAAGACAGCUGAUCUGGGAUCCUGGGAAACACGGACUGCAGGGCUCAGUCUCUCCCUCUAAUGGAGAGCUGAGCUGGAGAAAGACAAAGGAUGGAGCCACAAUGCCCAAGCUCCUAGCCACAGGGCCUAUAGAUCAUGUCAUUGGAUACUCCAGAAAAUGAAUAUGUCUUGAAGUGCAUGGAGUGUGUGAUUAAAUCCCUGAGUAGGAUAUUGAACCAGCCCUGCAUCCCAGGUAUAA
rnacentral:lncRNA from 1 species